AUACGUAGGUGGCGAGCGUUGUCCGGAUUUACUGGGUGUAAAGGGCGAGUAGGCGGGUAAACAAGUCAGAUGUGAAAUACCGAGGCUCAACUUCGGGGCUGCAUUUGAAACUGUUUAUCUUGAGUGAUGGAGAGGCAGGCGGAAUUCCCCGUGUAGCGGUAAAAUGCAUAGAGAUUGGGAGGAACACCAGUGGAGAAGGCGGCCUGCUGGACAUCAACUGACGCUGAGGAGCGAAAGUGUGGGGAGCAAACAGGAUUAGAUACCCUGGUAGUCCACACCGUAAACGAUGGAUACUAGGUGUGCGGGGACUGACCCCCUGCGUGCCGGAGUUAACACAUUAAGUAUCCCACCUGGGGAGUACGAUCGCAAGAUUGAAACUCAAAUGAAUUGACGGGG
rnacentral:rRNA from 1 species